GUCCACGCAGUAAACGAUGAGUACUAGUUGUCGGGCCCUUGGGGUUCGGUGGCGAAGCUAACGCGUUAAGUACUCCGCCUGGGGGACUACGGUCGCAAGACUAAAACUCAAAGGAAUUGACGGGGACCCGCACAAGCAGUGGAGCAUGUGGUUUAAUUCGAUGCUACGCGAAAAACCUUACCAACCCUUGAAUCCAGUUGACCGCUACAGAGAUGUAGCUUUGGAGCAAUCCACAAUUGACACAGGUGUUGCAUGGCUGUCGU
rnacentral:rRNA from 1 species